ensembl:misc_RNA Gm22701 predicted gene, 22701
GCUGGGCAUGAUGGCACACGCCUGUAGUCCCACCUACUCGGGAGGCUGAGACUGGAGGAUCACUUGAGUUCUGGGCUGUAGUGUGCUCUGCCGAUCCGGUGUCCGCACUAAGUUUAGAUCAAUAUGGUGACCUCCCAGGAGCGGGGGACCACCAGGUUGCCUAAGGAGGGGUGAACCCGCCCAGGUCAGAAACCACAUUUGCUUAUAGAAAGUGAGUUAGGCAGUAGUUUCUCAAUAGAAACAAUUCUGCUAUGCAUUUUCCCUUGAACAAUCAGUGGUAGAUGUUUUCCU